GAGGAAACACACACACCCCACUUCAGCACUGGGCAUUUGCUGAUCCCCUGGGAGGGCUUACCUUCUUGAAUCUGCCUUUUAAGUUGCUAGGACUCCUACUGCACCUCUGCAAGGCACUGAGGGAUUCAUUAAAGACCAGCUCUUCUCUGCAAAGUGAUCAGGUUAAGUGUACCUUCCUCAUCAGGAGAACUGCUCUGCUCCGUGUCCCCCUCUGGAGCCCUUUUUUCCCCACAUUUUGACCCUUUAACCCCCAUGUCACUCCUAUCCUGCUUUUUCCGUAGUUGUCCAUCCC